GAUGAACGCUGGCGGCGUGCCUAAUACAUGCGAGUCGAGCGAACAGACGAGGAGCUUGCUUCUCUGACGUUAGCGGCGGACGGGUGAGUAACACGUGGAUAACCUACCUAUAAGACUGGGAUAACUUCGGGAAACCGGAGCUAAUACCGGAUAAUAUAUUGAACCGCAUGGUUCAAUAGUGAAAGACGGUUUUGCUGUCACUUAUAGAUGGAUCCGCGCCGCAUUAGCUAGUUGGUAAGGUAACGGCUUACCAAGGCAACGAUGCGUAGCCGACCUGAGAGGGUGAUCGGCCACACUGGAACUGAGACACGGUCCAGACUCCUACGGGAGGCAGCAGUAGGGAAUCUUCCGCAAUGGGCGAAAGCCUGACGGAGCAACGCCGCGUGAGUGAUGAAGGUCUUCGGAUCGUAAAACUCUGUUAUUAGGGAAGAACAAAUGUGUAAGUAACUAUGCACGUCUUGACGGUACCUAAUCAGAAAGCCACGGCUAACUACGUG
rnacentral:rRNA from 1 species